rnacentral:rRNA from 1 species
AACGAACGCUGGCGGCAUGCCUAACACAUGCAAGUCGAACGGGAUCCUGGCUUCGGCCAGGUGAGAGUGGCGGACGGGUGAGUAACACGUGGGAACCUGCCCUUUGGUUCGGGAUAACCGCGGGAAACUGCGGCUAAUACCGAAUGCCUUCGCGAGAAGAAAGAUUUAUCGCCAGAGGAGGGGCCCGCGUCCGAUUAGGUAGUUGGUGGGGUAAAGGCCUACCAAGCCGACGAUCGGUAGCUGGUCUGAGAGGAUGAUCAGCCACACUGGGACUGAGAUACGGCCCAGACUCCUACGGGAGGCAGCAGUGGGGAAUAUUGGACAAUGGGGGCAACCCUGAUCCAGCAAUGCCGCGUGAGUGAUGAAGGCCUUAGGGUUGUAAAGCUCUUUUGCCAGGGAAGAUGAUGACUGUACCUGGAGAAUAAGCCCCGGCUAACUUCGUGCCAGCAGCCGCCGUAACAC